rnacentral:rRNA from 1 species
UACGUAGGGUGCAAGCGUUGUCCGGAAUUAUUGGGCGUAAAGAGCUCGUAGGCGGUCAGUCGCGUCUGCUGUGAAAACUCGGGGCUUAACUCCGGGCCUGCAGUGGGUACGGGCUGACUAGAGUGCGGGUAGGGGAGACUGGAAUUCCUGGUGUAGCGGUGAAAUGCGCAGAUAUCAGGAGGAACACCGGUGGCGAAGGCGGCGAUCUGGCCCAACACUGACACUGAGACCCGAAAGCGUGGGGAUCAAACAGG